rnacentral:lncRNA from 1 species
UCUUGGAUAUUUGGUAUAUUUAAAGCUUUAUCAUGGUGAAGUACAAAUUAUUUUUUUCAAACUAAACUGUCAUUAAAAGAGUAAGAGAGUACAUCAAGUUGGUAGCAACACAUAUACUUUUGUUCAGUUGGUUAAUAAAUGUAUUAAGAAAUGGGUGUUUUUAUAAUGGCCCUGUUAUAGGUCCUCGGUCAGUAAUAAUGGCCUCGGAUGUCUGUAAUG